GCCUCGGUGGUGUAGCGGUCUAGCAUAGAGCCCUGUCGAGGCUCUGACUCGGGUUCGAAACAUCAGAAAGAAAUAAGUAAUGAUGCGAUCAUCCCGACCGAGGCG
rnacentral:tRNA from 1 species